CCGGCACGGGUGAGUAACACGUAUCCAACCUGCCGUCUACUCUUGGACAGCCUUCUGAAAGGAAGAUUAAUACAAGAUGGCAUCAUGAGUCCGCAUGUUCACAUGAUUAAAGGUAUUCCGGUAGACGAUGGGGAUGCGUUCCAUUAGAUAGUAGGCGGGGUAACGGCCCACCUAGUCUUUGAUGGAUAGGGGUUCUGAGAGGAAGGUCCCCCACAUUGGAACUGAGACACGGUCCAA
rnacentral:rRNA from 1 species